rnacentral:lncRNA from 1 species
GAUAAUUUAUAUUGUAAUAUUUACAAUUAAGUUCCUGAUGCUAAUAGUUAGCAAUUACGUACUAAAUUUGUAACUUUUACAAAUUGAUCCAAAUCAUUAAUUCAAUUGAUAAUUUGAUCUUGAUUCAAUCAAAUGACUUGAUCAAUCUCUUUUAUGUGUGACUCCAUAGGUUUAAUUCUAUCUGAUAGCGAGACAUACCGUGAUCUCUAUCAUAGUAUCAUUGAAACUCCUUUCAAUGGGUUGGAAUAAUUUUAACUCACAUCCAUCAA